rnacentral:rRNA from 1 species
UACGUAGGGCGCAAGCGUUGUCCGGAAUUAUUGGGCGUAAAGAGCUCGUAGGCGGUUUGUCGCGUCUGUCGUGAAAGCUUGGGGCUUAACCCUAAGUCUGCGGUGGAUACGGGCAGACUAGAGGCAGGUAGGGGAGAACGGAAUUCCCGGUGUAGCGGUGAAAUGCGCAGAUAUCGGGAGGAACACCGGUGGCGAAGGCGGUUCUCUGGGCCAUUACUGACGCUGAGGAGCGAAAGCGUGGGGAGCGAACAGG